rnacentral:lncRNA from 1 species
CCAACCAUUCGCACUCACUUCUGCUUUCAAUUUUAAUGUCAUUUCUUCCGAGAAGCCUUCUCCGGCCACGCUGUUCCCUCUCGCACGUGCUCUGUCUCCUUCUCCCCUCUUCCGUAUCAAACUGACCACGACUUAGAAUUAUUUAUGUAUUUGUGGAUUUAUUCUUUCCUAUGUCUCUAUGCCCCCAGGUGGCUGUAAACUCCGAGGGGUCAGAGAUCACACCUGUCGGCGCACCCGUCAUGCCCAGAACCCGGCCCAGUGCUUGCUACACAAGAAAAAUGACAGGGACUCACUUUCCAAGAAAUUACAGUACGUUCAAUGACUUCCCAUCAAGAGCGUGCACUGUUCCGUGUCCUGCCAUUGGUAAGUAUCAAAUGGGCCCAUGUCAGACAAGGCAUGGCUUUUAAUCUCCCUUUAUUCGCCGUGUCACCUGUCAGUGACCUUGACUGUUGCCGACUGCCUCAUGUUCUGCAGUUUACUGAUAAGUGUGUUUACGGCUUUUGAAGUCAUGUCUGCCGAAAACCACAUCUGGUUCACCGCCGCCUCCACAGACACACAAUGAAAUAUAAAGGCUAAUUCUGCGGUGUACACAAUCCGUGUCUGUCUUCCCAGAGGAUUCCAGAUGGCGUGAACUCAGCAGAGGCAGCUCACUGAUGGCUGGCGAUUCUGGGGGAGGAGGGAGCACGGGGUGCAACCUGAAGCCUUUGCUGAGCAAAGGGGGUACCAC